GUAAAAAUUAAACACCAGUUUGAAGGUUGAAUGGGAAAUUUAAGCCCUUCUUAAUUAGGAAAACAGAUACUAUAGUUGACAUUUAAAAAAAUUGUCUCGGUCACCUUAGCAGAAAGACGACCCAAAGGCUCACCAGUUUCUAAAAGCUAAGCAGACUUCAAAAUGACACAACAUCUGGCUUUUUCCAUGCUGGCUCUCGCUUUAAUUUCCAGUUUUGAUCCAGUUGAAAAUGUGGGCGGGGAAUUUGAACCGCUCGCUAAUUACAACUUGGAUCGGAGUCUUUUUUUGAAAGAUUUGAGAUCAAUGAUGGCACCUCAGUGGCUCGCAAAAAGAGUGUUCCGAGGAAUUCCAGAUCCAAGACGCCGAAGUGCGAUGACUCCAUAAGCAUUUAAAAAGAGAUCAAUUACAGCUAGCUUUUAAAUUAUUAUAACGAGUUCGUUCGGUUAAUCACCCAAUCAUCAAUGCUAUUUGUUCUAAUAUCUGAUUCAUUUUUUCUGAUUGAAAAUUGAAAAUAAAAAUCUUAUCUGAAA